rnacentral:tRNA from 2 species
GGUCCGUUAGUUCAUCGGCUAGAACACUAGCUUGUCACGCUAGGAAGAUGGGUUCGACUCCCAUACGGACCGCCA